rnacentral:rRNA from 1 species
UAAGGAAUAUUGGUCAAUGGACGCAAGUCUGAACCAGCCAUGCCGCGUGGAGGAUGAAGGCCCUCUGGGUUGUAAACUUCUUUUAUCUGGGAAGAAAUCCCCGCAUUCCUGCGGGGUUGACGGUACCAGAGGAAUAAGCACCGGCUAACUCCGUGCCAGCAGCCGCGGUAAUACGGAGGGUGCAAGCGUUAUCCGGAUUCACUGGGUUUAAAGGGUGCGUAGGCGGGCAGGUAAGUCAGUGGUGAAAUCUCCAAGCUUAACUUGGAAACUGCCGUUGAUACUAUCUGUCUUGAAUAUUGUGGAGGUGAGCGGAAUAUGUCAUGUAGCGGUGAAAUGCUUAGAUAUGACAUAGAACACCAAUUGCGAAGGCAGCUCACUACGCAAUCAUUGACGCUGAGGCACGAAAGCGUGGGGAUCAAACAGG